CAGAGAAGUGCUUUAGCAAUAAAGAACCCGGUGACAGGUGCUGCAUGGCUGUCGUCAGCUCGUGUCGUGAGAUGUUGGGUUAAGUCCCGCAACGAGCGCAACCCUCGCCUUUAGUUGCCAGCAUUCAGUUGGGCACUCUAGAGGGACUGCCGGUGUCAAACCGGAGGAAGGUGGGGAUGACGUCAAGUCCUCAUGGCCUUUAUGUCUAGGGCUACACACGUACUACAAUGGCCGGUACAAAGGGCAGCCACUCAGCGAUGAGGCGCUAAUCCCAUAAAGCCGGUCUCAGUCCGGAUCGCAGUCUGCAACUCGACUGCGUGAAGUUGGAAUCGCUAGUAAUCGUAGAUCAGCAUGCUACGGUGAAUACGUUCCCGGGCCUU
rnacentral:rRNA from 1 species